rnacentral:rRNA from 1 species
UACGUAGGGUGCAAGCGUUAAUCGGAAUUAUUGGGCGUAAAGCGUGCGUAGGCGGCUUUGCAAGUCAGAUGUGAAAUCCCCGGGCUUAACCUGGGAACUGCAUUUGUGACUGCAUGGCUGGAGUGCGGCAGAGGGGGAUGGAAUUCCGCGUGUAGCAGUGAAAUGCGUAGAUAUGCGGAGGAACACCGAUGGCGAAGGCAAUCCCCUGGGCCUGCACUGACGCUGAUGCACGAAAGCGUGGGGAGCAAACAGG